rnacentral:rRNA from 1 species
AGUGAACGCUGGCGGUAGGCCUAACACAUGCAAGUCGAACGGCAGCACAGUAAGAGCUUGCUCUUACGGGUGGCGAGUGGCGGACGGGUGAGGAAUACAUCGGAAUCUACUUUUUCGUGGGGGAUAGCGUAGGGAAACUUACGCUAAUACCGCAUACGACCUACGGGUGAAAGCAGGGGAUCUUCGGACCUUGCGCGAUUGAAUGAGCCGAUGUCGGAUUAGCUAGUUGGCGGGGUAAAGGCCCACCAAGGCGACGAUCCGUAGCUGGUCUGAGAGGAUGAUCAGCCACACUGGAACUGAGACACGGUCCAGACUCCUACGGGAGGCAGCAGUGGGUAAUAUUGGACAAUGGGCGCAAGCCUGAUCCAGCCAUACCGCGUGGGUGAAGAAGGCCUUCGGGUUGUAAAGCCCUUUUGUUGGGAAAGAAAAGCAGCAGGUUAAUACCCCGCUGUUCUGACGGUACCCAAAGAAUAAGCACCGGCUAACUUCGUG